rnacentral:rRNA from 1 species
CGUACGACGUAGUUUGAUCCGUGGCUCAGAAUGAACGCUGGCGGCAGGCCUAACACAUGCAAGUCGAACGAAGCCUUCGGGGUUAGCGGCGGACGGGUGAGUAACGCGUGGGAACGUGCCCUUUGCUACGGAAUAGCCCCGGGAAACUGGGAGUAAUACCGUAUGUGCCCUUCGGGGGAAAGAUUUAUCGGCAAAGGAUCGGCCCGCGUUGGAUUAGGUAGUUGGUGGGGUAAUGGCCUACCAAGCCGACGAUCCAUAGCUGGUUUGAGAGGAUGAUCAGCCACACUGGGACUGAGACACGGCCCAGACUCCUACGGGAGGCAGCAGUGGGGAAUCUUAGACAAUGGGCGCAAGCCUGAUCUAGCCAUGUCGCGUGAUCGAUGAAGGCCUUAGGGUUGUAAAGAUCUUUCAGUGGGGAAGAUAAUGACUGUACCCACAGAAGAAGCCCCGGCUAACUCCGUA